ACCCUGAACCUACAAAUGCUCAGCAUGGAGGGAUCCCUGCACCUCUGAGGAGACCCACUGACGUCAAUGCAAUUUCACACAGGUGCUGGAUGAAGGAUACAAGACUUCAUGGGCCAAUGCUCUGAUGUGGAAGCAAGAAAGACUGACUGGAGAGGAUAAAAAAUGAACUGAAAUUGCAAGGGAAAUUUUUCAACAUGUUCUUGUAAGCUGGAUGACAAAGUUUGGUUAACUUGAAAAAAAGACGAUGUUUAAGAUCCUGGCUUCCAUAUGCACUCAUAAAAACUACAUAUUGCACAAGCAGAAACCUAGAACACCUGUGACUUUAAAGAUCACUCUGGAAGACAUGAACACGUUUGCGGUUGCAACGAAUUUGGUAAUAAUUAGAUGUGCCAGGGAACUUUUUAAUACCU